UAAAAGAUAAGCUAAACAAGCUAGUGGGUUCAUACCCCACCUAUAAAGGUAUACCCCUUUUCUUUUUA
rnacentral:tRNA from 1 species